CCCUUAGAUGUCCGGGGCCGCACGCGCGCUACAAUGGAUGAAUCAACGCGUCAUCCUGGCCCGAAAGGGUUGGGGAACCGCUGAACCUCAUCCGUGGUUGGGAUUGGGGUUUGUAAUUAUUCCCCAUGAACUAGGAAUUCCCAGUAAGCGCGAGUCAUAAGCUCGCGUUGAUUACGUCCCUGCCCUUUGUACACACCGCCCGUCGCUACUACCGAUUGGAUGGUUUAGUGAGAUCCUCGGAUUGGUCACGGCACGGUGGCAACACUGCGUCGGUGUGCCGAGAAGACGAUCAAACUUGAUCAUCUAGAGAAAGUAAAAGUCGUAACA
rnacentral:rRNA from 1 species